CCUACUCUUGACAUCCAGAGAACUUUCCAGAGAUGGAUUGGUGCCUUCGGGAACUCUGAGACAGGUGCUGCAUGGCUGUCGUCAGCUCGUGUUGUGAAAUGUUGGGUUAAGUCCCGCAACGAGCGCAACCCUUAUCCUUGUUUGCCAGCGAGUAAUGUCGGGAACUCCAGGGAGACUGCCGGUGAUAAACCGGAGGAAGGUGGGGACGACGUCAAGUCAUCAUGGCCCUUACGAGUAGGGCUACACACGUGCUACAAUGGCGCAUACAGAGGGCGGCCAACUUGCGAAAGUGAGCGAAUCCCAAAAAGUGCGUCGUAGUCCGGAUUGGAGUCUGCAACUCGACUCCAUGAAGUCGGAAUCGCUAGUAAUCGUGGAUCAGAAUGCCACGGUGAAUACGUUCCC
rnacentral:rRNA from 1 species